CCUACGGGAGGCUGCAGUGGGGAAUAUUGGACAAUGGGGGCAACCCUGAUCCAGCCAUGCCGCGUGUGUGAAGAAGGCCCUCGGGUUGUAAAGCACUUUCAGUGAGGAAGAACGCCUGUUGGUUAAUACCCAUCAGGAAAGACAUCACUCACAGAAGAAGCACCGGCUAACUCCGUGCCAGCAGCCGCGGUAAUACGGAGGGUGCGAGCGUUAAUCGGAAUUACUGGGCGUAAAGCGCGCGUAGGUGGCUUGAUAAGCCGGUUGUGAAAGCCCCGGGCUCAACCUGGGAACGGCAUCCGGAACUGUCAAGCUAGAGUGCAGGAGAGGAAGGUAGAAUUCCCGGUGUAGCGGUGAAAUGCGUAGAGAUCGGGAGGAAUACCAGUGGCGAAGGCGGCCUUCUGGACUGACACUGACACUGAGGUGCGAAAGCGUGGGUAGCAAACAGGAUUAGAUACCCGGGUAGUC
rnacentral:rRNA from 1 species